GCGUCACAGCACAAACAAAUCAUAUCACGGAUUGGACCUAACCCCAAAACAUCCCUUCCAGUCUCAGUAUGCCCGGCCCGGCCGGGUCUCACAACCUUCGUAUGCCUGGUCCGGCUAGGUCUUACAACAACUGUAUAUGUAUGCCUGGCCCGGCCAGGUCUCACAACAUCUCUAGGGCUAGUGGGGUCGUCCUUGGUCCAAUCUCCAUAAACAGUAAAUAAUGCAAUGCUUCAUAUUCGUGUAACUAGUCCAAUCAACCUAUUACAUAUAAACAUGGUGCAUGAGCAUGCUUUAGGCAUUUGAUUUCAUAAAGUAAAAGAUUAAGUUUAGUUCUACUCACCUCUGGCAGACGCUGAACUGACUCUGCAACUGCUAACACUGAUGGCCUCCUCCAUCCCUCGGGUCCGGUCCUACACAGGUGGACUCGAAUGAGGUGCCAAACACAUUCUAACCACUCAUAAACAACUACCCAAAAACCCCUAAAAACAUCACUUAAACAUGCAUAGAAAACAACCUUGAAAAGGCUGGACAGGGCACUUUCGGCGGCCGAACCCUCUCUCCAGAGACGAAACUCGGGCACCUUCGGCGGCCGAAAGUCCCACUCCAGAGACGAAAAUCAGGCACUUUCGGCGGCUGAAUCCUUCCUUCGGCGGCCGAAAGUCUGCUUUCAAGCCAAAACUCAGCUUUCGGGGGCAAGGUUAGGCGGCCAAUCAAUGCAUCCAAAGGCAGGUUCGGCGGCCGAAACCACCUUCGGCGGCCGAACCUGAUUUCUUCCCAGAAGGGCAGAACUCAGCUUCUCAUGCAUUCAAGCCUCCCAAACCUUCCAAACACCCCAACACAAGCACCCAACCUUACCAAAGCAUGCAUAAACCCUUAACCAUGCACAAAGGAGUUUAAACAAGCUUAAACUCCAACAAAGAACAUCAAAAAGCAUACUUAAAUGGCUUAUGACCCACAUAAGCCAAAACCAACAAAACUAUCCAAAAUCUCACUUGCUCUUUCCCACUCAUGCAUACACUCUCCCACAUGCAUAACCUAGCCUAAACAUUCAACAUAGCAUCAUAUAAACAUACAUGAGCAUCACAUAACAUACAUUGGGCAUAAAACCCACAUAAAUCCUAACAUGCAUAUCUACCCAUACUCUACCAUUAAAACCUUCAUAAAACUUCAAAAGACACUAGGAAAGCAAAGAUCUACACUUACCUCUUGAAGAUCGAGGGUUGCGUGAUCUCUAACUCGGAGGUGUGGAGAAUCCAAGCCCCAAAAGCUCCAAGCUCCCAAAACUUCGAUCUAAGCUUUAAAACUUCAAAACGAGGGUAGAUCUCAUGAAAACUUUGAGGGAUGGGUAGAAAAAGCAUAAAAACGACCAAAGGAGCACAAGAACUCAUCUGAGCUCGAGAAUGAGGAGAAAACUCGCCCAUUUCCGAUCUGAGGGCCCUUUAUAGGUGGCCUGGUCAGAGACCUUCGGCAGCCUAUCGUGCCCCCUAAACUCAUGCAUGUUCGGCGGCCGAACUUGAGGUUCGGCGGUCGAACCUUGGCUCGUUCAAACAAGACUUUCGGAGGCCAAAGGCGCUCCCGAAGCCUUUCCAUGUUCGGCGGUCGAACUUCACUUUCGACGGCCGAACCUGGCAAAUGCCUCCUUGGUCUUUUCUUUUUAAAACUCAAUUCCUUUUCAUUUAAGACCAUGAAAUCAGUAAAACAUUUUAGAAAACACAUUUUACCCCUCUAGAAGCCUUUGGCAUCUUCAAAAUUCCAGAUUCCAACGGAGAUUCCGCCGUAAGGUAGGGAUUCCGAUGCUGGAAUCUAGCCGGGUAUUACAUUCUUUCCCCCUUUAAGAACAUUCGUCCCUGAAUGUUCCACAAACAAACAGGCAUAGCAUAAAACAUAACAUCAAUCAUACAUGAACAAGCAAGCAAACCAGCAAGCAAAACCUAAAAAUCUCUCUCCUGUAAGAGAGACACAGGCACUACUGGAGUAUAAACUCCCGGGUCUCCCAAACACUCACUAUCAACCAGUGGUGAUUUUCAAAACUUUUCACCAUCGGGAUUUCCUUGUUCCUUAACUUCUUGACUUAUGUGUCCAUGAUUCGCACUAACUGCUCAACACAGGUGAGAUCCCUUGAGAUCUCCACCUCUGGUUCUUUAAGAACCUCACUUGGAUCUGACACGAGCUUCUGUAACACAGGAACAUGGAAACCCGAAUGGACUUUUCCAUAGGAAAUCACCCUUACCAAUGGAGACACCUUAGCAAUACCCAACCUUCACCUGAAACUCGACACGCUUCCACUGCGCUACUCUGAUCCUUACUCUUUUCUCUUCAUCUUCUCUACUAAUUGGCUUCUUCUCACUGCUAACCCAAAACUAACUCUGACUCUCACAGGUAGAGCCCGGAUUUCAGAUCUAUCUUGGAAAACAACCAGCUCCUACUAGCUGUCCCAAUAGAUCAUCCAUCCUGCAUGGGAAUACCUGCUCUUGGUAGUGACCUUGGUCAACUGCUUACAGUCGUUACAAAGUCUCGAGGAUCCAUCCUUCUUUUUCCACAACCACACUGGAACAAUCCAGGGUGAGGUACUAGGUCGGAUAAAACCCCUGUCUACCAAGUCUCGCCUCUACUCUGACUACUACCUCUCUCUACGCAGGCGCCAUCCUAUAGGGAAGGGUAGAAAUGGUUCUGCAUCCAGACACCACUCCUACACCAAACUCUAACUCCCUGACAGAUGGUAAACCUGACAACUCGCCUGAGAAAACAACUAAGAACUCUCUAACUAUUACCACUGAGGCUGGUUCCCCGACCUGACUGCUAAACUCUCAACAAGAACUCGAACCCUCUGACAACCCCUCCUACGUACCCUACGAACCUGACAGGCUGACAUCAAACCUCUAGGCAUCCCUACUGUAUUCCCUCAACAGACUACCUCUGACCCAUCCUGUCCUCUGAACUUGACUACCUUGUCUCUACAGACUAAGAUAGCACCACGAGCAGAAACCAAUCCAUCCCUCGAUUGACGUCCAGACAGUCAAGUCUAGGACCUCAAAAUCGAGUGGAAGGCACCUACCCUCAACUGAAACAGAACUGAACCGGCAGACUGACUCUGCCACAGAUGGAUCACACGUGAGUCUACUGACCCAAAGAGAACACUCUAGCCCAAAAGCUAUCAACUCAACCUCUCGACGGCUCCUAGAGCAACUAAAGAAAGAGAAAAACACUAGGGUUCACAAAAACAUACACAUCAGAACUUUCAAAAGUGAGCGUACCUGACACCACCAUGUUCGAUGUGUCUGCCUCUUGCUGAGCUUGGGUGAAGAUCCGAGCUGGAGCUGACGGACCUUCUUCACGGAAACCUGAGGAAUGAGGGGCUGACCCUCUUCCUCUGCCUUGACCACUAACCUGAAACACGGCUGGAGCUACUGGCUGAGCUGCUCUACCUGAAGCUGCUUGCUGGGACGGAGCCAACCUGGGCGCAGUGGGACACUCACGUGCUAUGUGCCCCUCCUGUCCGCACCUGUAACAUAGAUUAGUCCCAUAACGGCAGACUCCCUUGUGCGGCCUUCCGCACCUCAAGCAUCUUGAACUGCCUGAGCCAGAGCUCGAACCACCACCUAAUCCCAGACUAGACUUCAACCGACUCCAUAACUUCUUCUUCUUCCCCCUCAGGGUUCUGCCCCACUUCUUGCUUUUCGUGGAGGCUGUACUCAGAGUGGAGGGAUCAAUCCCUCCUGAACCUGAGAUUCUGGAAUCCUGAGUCUGAGCAUCCUCCUGAAAAUCUCCCAUACUGACAUAUCUUCUCUGAACAUCCAUCUCCACUUCUCUCGCACUAGCUGACAUCCUUCUUGGAGCCAUUCCUUCUCUGCUUACAUCAAAAGACCUUCCAGGGUCCCUUGAUGUUCCCCAUCUGCUGACUCCCCACGACUGCGCUUUUGGCAGAGCAGGGGGAAAGGUGUCCAUACCUUCCCUCUCAGAUGGAACUCCAGUCGAUUCCACAGAUCGACGAGCACCUCGCAUUCUGGCUCCUCUCUGAAGAACAACACACAAGCAUACAAUCAAUCAUUAGCAUCAUAAGGUUCAGGUGGAAACACAUGAACCUGCAACAUACAUAGCAUACAUAGCAUAUCACACAUAACAUUAAUGCACAUGCAUAAACUCAUGGCAUUCCACAUCAUCAUCAAACAAGACAGGACUCCACAUCCUAUCCUAGUGGACAUGAUUCUUCCUAUUGUGCUUGCCCUUCUAUGACCUCUAAGCCAACCUCUUUUCGAUGUGCAACACACCGUACUCUCGAGGCCCAAAGCUCUGAUACCACUCUAUAACGACCCGAAAACCGAUACCCUACCGUAACGACCUGUACCGCCACCGGCGCUAGGAUCCAGAUCGGCUUAAGGCCGCCGGGACCCGUAGCAAGCCAAACAUGCCUCCUAUCACCUGGUCAAAUCCUAUACAUGAUCAAAACUUUAACAUAAAAACUCAAACAUCUGAUGUACAAACCGAACCUGACCUGUAUGCGACAUAACUGAAAACAUAAAAGGACCCCCCCUACUAGAGCCCUCAUCAAAACUCUAGCUGGGUCUACAUAACAUACAUCAAGCCGGAGUCACAUCCAAAGAACCACACCUAACCUGUGCAUGCAUCAAACCACAACACAAGACCUCCACUAGGGUCCUCAUCCAUUACCAUAGCGUGAUAAACAACACAUGCCAUAAGAUUAGUUCCAACACAACUCAACAUCUAGCAUAACAUACAUCAUGUAUUAAAAAGGGACUAACCAAGUCUUAGGGCCAAGCACAGUACUAAUCCAUAAACAUAACUCCACUUACUUUACAAUCUCUUACAAAACAUUAUAUCAAUUUACAAUACAUAUCCACACUAAAAGUAGUAAUCUAAUACUAUUACAUAAGCAAACCUUUACUCUUGAGACUUCCCGAACGACCUCAAACCUGCAACACUGGGGUUAGGGGAGAGGGGUGAGCUAAAAAGCCCAGUGAGUAGAAACAAAGAAAACAGUUCAUUAAUUACAUGCUUUCAUGGAAUGCGUCACAGCACAAACAAAUCAUAUCACGGAUUGGACCUAACCCCAAAACAUCCCUUCCAGUCUCAAUAUGCCCGGCCCGGCCGGGUCUCACAACCUUCGUAUGCCUGACUCGGCCAGGUCUUACAACAACUGUAUAUGUAUGCCUGGCCCGGCCAGGUCUCACAACAUCUCUAGGGCUAGUGGGGUCGUCCUUGGUCCAAU
rnacentral:lncRNA from 1 species